AGAGGGGAGUACGCAGUUCUUUUAUUGUCCCAGUCCCCACGAUUUCCCCCAAAAGUCCACCCAUUUCCACGGAGCUCAUUACCAUACGGGGCAAGCACAGCCUGGCAGGC